rnacentral:rRNA from 1 species
UACGGAGGGAGCUAGCGUUGUUCGGAAUUACUGGGCGUAAAGCGUGCGCAGGCGGUGAUGUAAGUCAGUUGUGAAAUCCCCGGGCUCAACCUGGGAACUGCAUCUGUGACUGCAUCGCUGGAGUGCGGCAGAGGGGGAUGGAAUUCCGCGUGUAGCAGUGAAAUGCGUAGAUAUGCGGAGGAACACCGAUGGCGAAGGCAAUCCCCUGGGCCUGCACUGACGCUCAUGCACGAAAGCGUGGGGAGCAAACAGG